rnacentral:lncRNA from 1 species
GGGGUGGGGUGGUCACUGUAUUUAUGUGGGUGAUGCUCGAUAGAGAAGUGAGUCAGCAAUUUCACUCCGGUUCUUGGAUCUCACACCAGGCACUUUCUCUCCUCUCCCAGUCCUGCCCUCCGACCCUGUUUCAAUCAGCUCCGGGGACUGUCUACCUCCAGGACGGGUAAGGAUACCAUGUAACAAGUUCUAGGAGCAAACCGGCUCACUGGGAGAUGGAGGGCAAGGCUGCAGUAUAGGAAGGACCAUUACCAGCUGGCAAAAGAAAGCUCAAACUGCUGCAUCAGGGAGCUCCAGCCCGGGGGAGCUUCUAAAAGCUCUAGCCUGCAGAGGGGAAGCUGCUUCGAGACACUGAGUGCCGGCCAGACCAAUCUAUCCCUCUGGCCCUGCUGUGGGUCAUCGCCAUGUGCCUCAUCUGAGACUGUUUGGAUUUCCUACUGCUGCCUCACAGACGGGCUUCAGGCACAUUUUCUUUUUAAAUUUAGACAGACUUCAGUUUUCAUCAAAACCCUGCCGCUUUGAAACUGUGCUCUUGAGAAAAAGACUUUGUCCCUCCCCAGUGCCCCACGCCUCAACCCCACGAUGCUUAGCCAGUGGUUAAGAGCUAAUAUGGGCUCUGUUCAUCAUGUCACUGCCUGGCUUUGUUUAAAAUGGUGUGGAUUCUGAACAUUCUUUAAGUUCCUGACGUCAACCGUACACAUCAAAUUAAUACCGAAAUCCUCAUUUCGCUCUGGCCCAGAUUCUAGGCCCAGACCUAGUUAGCAGCCUUUCAGGAAGGCGAAUGGCUGCCAUGACCUAUGGAGAGUUUGGAUCUCAGAUGUCUUCUUGUUUGAGACAGGACAUCCCUUAGCUCGGGCUGGCCUACAACAAAUAUCUCUCGCCCCUGCCUCCUCAGAACUGGGAAUGAAGGUGUGUAUCCCUACUCCUGGUUAUUUGUUUUUUUAAUGUACACAUUAAGAUGUAUGUGCGUCAGUACCCACAUGACACCAUGAACAUGCUGGGCUAAAAGGACAACUCUGUGGAGACACUUCUCCCCUUUGGUCUGAAACUCAAGUCACCAGGCCUGGACCAUCAGAUGGCAAGACCACCUUUACCUCCUGAGUGAUCUGGCCAGCCUGCUUCUCAGACAGGCAGUCUUGAUAUUCUGCCUGCCACCUCCUCCAUGGGCCACCAGCAAGUAAAGACAGACAGCUGCAACUUGCCCUGUAAACCAGGCUUGCUGGAGAAGGGGCUGGGGCUCUAUCUAUAACCAAUCAUCUUAUACUUUCAUGGAAUCUUGGCAGCAGCCAAUGAGAACUUCAAAGGCUUGGCCUAGCUGUGGGAUGGGACAAUAAACAUGUUAAUCCCUUGUCUUAACUGCUUAGGACCUGCCUGUUCAGCCAGCAGCAGGGAGAAGGAGAGAGCAAUAGAGGUGAGGAGGUGAUGGCCAAAUGCCUCACAGAAGCCAAAGUGCAAGAGCCUGGAUCCCACAAACUUGUUCAAUAGUUUUCUAAAAAAAAAAAUAAAAUAAAAAAUAAAGUUUGUAGGGCUGGAGAGGUGGUUCAGUGGUUUAAUAGAGCUGACUGCUCUUCCAGAGGUCCUGAGUUCAAAUCCCAGCAGCCACUUGGUGGCUCACAACCAUCUGUAAUGGAGUCCAAUGCCCACUUCUGGAAUGUCUGAAGACAGCUACAGUGUACUCAUAUACAUAAAAUAAAUUAAUGAAAAGUAUGCAAACAAAAAA